GCGUGAGUGAAGAAGGCCUUAGGGUUGUAAAGCUCUUUCAGUGGGGAAGAUAAUGACGGUACCCACAGAAGAAGCCCCGGCUAACUCCGUGCCAGCAGCCGCGGUAAGACGGAGGGGGCUAGCGUUGUUCGGAAUUACUGGGCGUAAAGCGCGCGUAGGCGGUCUGUUUAGUUAGGUGUGAAAGCCCCGAGCUCAACUCGGGAACUGCACUUAAUACUGGCAGACUGGAGUCCGGUAGAGGGUAGUGGAAUUCCCAGUGUAGAGGUGAAAUUCGU
rnacentral:rRNA from 1 species